CUAGUAGCUGGUUCCCUCCGAAGUUUCCCUCAGGAUAGCUGGUGCAUUUUGAUAUUAUGUAAAAUAAUCUUAUCUGGUAAAGCGAAUGAUUAGAGGCCUUAGGGUCGAAACGACCUUAACCUAUUCUCAAACUUUAAAUGGGUAAGAACCUCACCUUUCUUGAUAUGAAGGUUGAGGUUAUGAUAUAAUGUGCCCAGUGGGCCACUUUUGGUAAGCAGAACUGGCGCUGUGGGAUGAACCAAACGUAAUGUUACGGUGCCUAAAUUAACAACUCAUGCAGAUACCAUGAAAGGCGUUGGUUGCUUAAAACAGCAGGACGGUGGACAUGGAAGUCGUAAUCCGCUAAGGAGUGUGUAACAACUCACCUGCCGAAGCAACUAGCCCUUAAAAUGGAUGGCGCUUAAGUUGUAUACCUAUACAUUACCGCUAAAGUACAUGAUUUAUAAAGCAAUUUCGGNUGUUUUUAUAAAUUUUGAAACUUUAGUGAGUAGGAGGGUACAAUGGUGUGCUUAGAAGUGUUUGGCGUAAGCCUACAUGGAGCCGCCAUUGGUACAGAUCUUGGUGGUAGUAGCAAAUAAUCGAAUGAGACCUUGGAGGACUGAAGUGGAGAAGGNUUUCGUGUGAACAGUGGUUGAUCACGAGUUA
rnacentral:rRNA from 1 species